UACAGAGGUGGCAAGCGUUGUUCGGAAUUACUGGGCGUAAAGGGCUCGUAGGCGGCCAACUAAGUCGGACGUGAAAUCCCCAGGCUCAACCUGGGAACUGCGUCUGAUACUGGAUGGCUUGAAUCCGGGAGAGGGAUGCAGAAUUCCAGGUGUAGCGGCGAAAUGCGUAGAUAUCUGGAGGAAUACCGGUGGCGAAGGCGGCAUCCUGGACCGGCAUUGACGCUGAGGAGCGAAAGCCAGGGAGCAAACGGG
rnacentral:rRNA from 1 species